rnacentral:rRNA from 1 species
UUUAGACGGUAGGGUAUUGGCCUACCGUGGCUAUGACGGGUAACGGGGAAUUAGGGUUCGAUUCCGGAGAGGGAGCCUGAGAAACGGCUACCACAUCUAAGGAAGGCAGCAGGCGCGCAAAUUACCCAAUCCUAAUACAGGGAGGUAGUGACAAGAAAUAACAAUACAGAACCUCACGGUUUUGUAAUUGGAAUGAGUUAAGUAUAAACCCCUUAACGAGUAUCAAUUGGAGGGCAAGUCUGGUGCCAGCAGCCGCGGUAAUUCCAGCUCCAAUAGCGUAUAUUAAAGUUGUUGCAGUUAAAAAGCUCGUAGUUGAUUUUCUGUUAAUUUUUAUGUAUAAUAUUGCGAUAUUUACAUAAUAUUAACAUAAUUCACAUUACUUUACAGUAUGUGGAACUUUACUUUGAGAAAAUUAGAGUGCUUAAAGCAGGCUAUUGCCUUGAAUACUCCAGCAUGGAAUAAUAUUAAGGAUUUUUAUUCUUCUUAUUGGUUCUAGAAUAAAAAUAAUGAUUAAUAGGAACAGU